rnacentral:lncRNA from 1 species
GCUGAGGUGAGAGGAUUCCUUGAGGCCAGGAGUUCAAGACCAGCCUGGGCCACACAGCAAGACUCCAUCUCUACCAAAAUAAAAUAAUUAGCUGGAAAUGAUGGCACCCACCUGUAGUCCCAGCUGCUCGGGAAGCUGAGGUGGAAGGAUCUCUUGAGUCCAUGAGUUCAAGACUGCAGUGAGCUAUGAUCACACCACUGCACUCCAGCCUGGGCAACAGUGCAAGAACCUCUAUCAAAUCUCCCAGGAGAUAAUGAGAUCUCAAAACACAUGUGACGCAUAAGGAUGAGACCUUGCCCUGGUGAUUCUGAGUCCCCAGGUAUGGGUGGGGCCCAGAGAUCUGCAUUUUCUUUUCUUUUUUGUUUUUUCUUUGAGAUGGAGUCGUGCUCUGUCUCUCAGGCUGGUGUGCAGUGGCGUGGAGAUCUGCAUUUUCAAUAAAAAC